rnacentral:rRNA from 1 species
UACGACUACAUAUCAGGCAUAUCAAUAAGCGGAGGAAAAGAAACUAACAAGGAUUCCCCUAGUAACGGCGAGUGAAGCGGGAAGAGCUCAAAUUUGAAAUCUUCAAGGUUUUACCUUGACGAAUUGUAGUUUAAAGAAGUGUUUUCUGUUGGAAUUUUGGUAAAAGUUCUUUGGAAAAAGACAUCAAAGAGGGUGAGAAUCCCGUAUUUGACCAUUAUUUCCAGCUUUGUGAUACACUUUCAAAGAGUCGGAUUGUUUGGGAAUGCAGUCCAAAAUGGGUGGUAAAUUUCAUCUAAAGCUAAAUAUUGGCGAGAGACCGAUAGCGAACAAGUACCGUGAGGGAAAGAUGAAAAGAACUUUGAAAAGAGAGUUAAACGGUACGUGAAAUUGUCAAAAGGGAAGCGUUUGACACCAGUGUUGUUUUCUCGAAAAUCAAUUAAAAAUGACCGGAUUUUGUGUUGUAUUGACUUUAUCAGCUUUCUGCACUUUUUUCUUGUCUUUUUUGAUGCACUUUUCGUUUAACAAGUCAACAUCAAUUUCUUUUGUUGUAAAAGGGUCAUUGGAAGGUGGCUUUCACUUCGGCUGCAAGUGUUUAUAGCCUUUGACUUCUGCAAUCGGAGAGAUUGAGGUCUGCAGCGUAGAUCCUUCGGGGUUAGAUACAUUUGUGCUAAGCUAUAGCCUUGUAUAGACAACUUGUUGACUAUGCUCAGUCAUGUAGCUUACUCGCUUAUGCUAUUUUACCUACGCUUAGGAUGUUGACGCGCGUGUGUGCGUG